CAGUCGCCGCGUGAAUACGAAGGGUGCAAGCGUUAAUCGGAAUUACUGGGCGUAAAGCGCACGUAGGCGGCUUUGUAAGUUAGAGGUGAAAGCCUGGAGCUCAACUCCAGAAUUGCCUUUAAGACUGCAUCGCUUGAAUCCAGGAGAGGUGAGUGGAAUUCCGAGUGUAGAGGUGAAAUUCGUAGAUAUUCGGAAGAACACCAGUGGCGAAGGCGGCUCACUGGACUGGUAUUGACGCUGAGGUGCGAAAGCGUGGGGAGCAAACAGGAUUAGAUACCCCUGUAGUCCCUGUCUCUUAUAC
rnacentral:rRNA from 1 species